ACGGGUGCGUAACGCGUAUGCAACCUACCUAAAAGAGGAGCAUAGCCCGGGGAAACCCGGAUUAAUAUUCCAUAGUAUAUAGCCUUGGCAUCAGGGUUAUAUUAAAGCUUCGGCGCUUUUAGAUGGGCAUGCGUCCAAUUAGCUAGUUGGUGAGGUAAAGGCUCACCAAGGCGACGAUUGGUANGGGGUCUGAGAGGAUUAUCCCCCACACUGGUACUGAGACACGGACCAGACUCCUACGGGAGGCAGCAGUAGGGAAUAUUGGUCAAUGGGCGAUAGCCUGAACCAGCCAUGCCGCGUGCAGGAAGACGGCCCUUGGGUUGUAAACUGCUUUUCUACGGGAAGAAAAAGGCAUUGCGGUGCCUCUUGACGGUACCGUAGGAAUAAGCACCGGCUAACUACGUGCCAGCAGCCGCGGUAAUACGUAGGGUGCAAGCGUUGUCCGGAUUCACUGGGUUUAAAGGGUGCGCAGGCGGACCGGUCAGUCAGUGGUGAAAGCCCGGGGCUUAACUCCGGAGUUGCCAUUGAUACUGCCGGUCUUGAGUACGCAUGAGGUAGGCGGAAUUCGUGGUGUAGCGGUGAAAUGCAUAGAUACCAUGAGGAACACCCAUUGCGAAGGCAGCUUACUGGGGCGUAACUGACGCUCAGGCACGAAAGCGUGGAUAGCAAACAGGAUUAGAUACCCUGGUAGUCCACGCCGUAAACGAUGGACACUCGAUGUUGGCAGGUUGCUGUCAGCGUCCAAGCGAAAGCGUUAAGUGUCCCACCUGGGGAGUACGGUCGCAAGAUUGAAACUCAAAGGAAUUGACGGGGG
rnacentral:rRNA from 1 species